rnacentral:lncRNA from 1 species
GACUCUCCAACCUUAUCCACUUGGGGUGCCCACUAAAUCCAAUUGGGCUCGCGCCAUAAUCUGAUUAUGGCACCCAAUUUGAUGUGGUUUGGCUCCACAAAAAUCCUUCAAUAAGCUCUUGCCAAGUGGCCUUCAAUUUAAGACCCAUAUGUCAACUUUUGACAAAUAUCCUAAAAUGAAAUUGGCAGGUGACAGGAAUUAGCAGGUGCUUGUCUUAAAU